AUACAAUUAAGAAACAAACAUCGACUGUUUAUUUUGCUCACAAACUUUGGUCGGGGAGUGAGCGACUUCUUAUUUUUAUUUUGUU
rnacentral:antisense_RNA from 18 species